AUUGAACGCUGGCGGCAUGCUUUACACAUGCAAGUCGAGCGGCAGCGCGGGGGCAACCCUGGCGGCGAGCGGCGAACGGGUGAGUAAUGCAUCGGAACGUAUCCUCGAGUGGGGGAUAACCCAGCGAAAGUUGGGCUAAUACCGCAUGAGCUCUGAGGAGGAAAGCGGGGGACCUGCGAGGGCCUCGCGCUGGAGGAGCGGCCGAUGUCCGAUUAGCUAGUUGGUGGGGUAAAGGCUUACCAAGGCGACGAUCGGUAGCUGGUUUGAGAGGAUGAUCAGCCACACUGGGACUGAGACACGGCCCAGACUCCUACGGGAGGCAGCAGUGGGGAAUUUUGGACAAUGGGGGCAACCCUGAUCCAGCCAUGCCGCGUGAGUGAAGAAGGCCUUCGGGUUGUAAAGCUCUUUCGGACGGAACGAAAUGGGCGGGACUAAUACUCCGGUCUGAUGACGGUACCGUAAGAAGAAGCACCGGCUAACUACGUG
rnacentral:rRNA from 1 species